AUUGAACGCUGGCGGAAUGCUUUACACAUGCAAGUCGAACGGCAGCACGGACUUCGGUCUGGUGGCGAGUGGCGAACGGGUGAGUAAUGUAUCGGAACGUGCCCAGUCGGGGGGGAUAACGUAGUGAAAAUUACGCUAAUACCGCAUACGAUCUAUGGAUGAAAGCGGGGGAUCGCAAGACCUCGCGCGAUUGGAGCGGCCGAUAUCAGAUUAGGUAGUUGGUGGGGUAAAGGCCCACCAAGCCAACGAUCUGUAGCUGGUCUGAGAGGACGACCAGCCACACUGGAACUGAGACACGGUCCAGACUCCUACGGGGGGCAGCAGUGGGGAAUUUUGGACAAUGGGCGAAAGCCUGAUCCAGCCAUUCCGCGUGCAGGAUGAAGGCCCUCGGGUUGUAAACUGCCUUUGUACAGAACGAAAAGGUUUCUACUAAUACUAGGAGCUCAUGACGGUACUGUAAGAAUAAGCACCGGCUAACUACGUGCCAGCCGCCGCGGUAA
rnacentral:rRNA from 1 species